AUCCUGCCAGUAGUGAUAUGCUUGUCUCAAAGACUAAGCCAUGCAUGUUCAGUCCAAACAGAAGUAAAGUGAAACCGCGAAUGGCUCAUUAAAUCAGUUAUGGUUCCUUUGAAGGAUGUUUUACUUGGAUAACUGUGGCAAUUCUAGAGCUAAUACAUGCAACUCAUGUCCUUUCCGGAGACGGAUCGGACGCUUUUAUUAGAUCAAAACCAAUCGCGCCCUUGAGUGGGCUUGCUCUCUUUUGGUGACUCUGGAUAAAACCACGCCGAUCGUACGGCCCUCGAGCCGGCGACGCUUCUUUCAAAUGUCUGCCUUAUCAACUGUCGAUGGUAGGUUCUGCGCCUACCAUGGUUGUAACGGGUAACGGAGAAUCAGGGUUCGAUUCCGGAGAGGGAGCCUGAGAAACGGCUACCACAUCCAAGGAAGGCAGCAGGCGCGCAAAUUACCCACUCCCAGAUAGGGGAGGUAGUGACGAAAAAUAACGAUACGGGACUCAUCCGAGGCCCCGUAAUCGGAAUGAUAACACUUUAAAUCCUUUACAGAUUAACUAUUGGAGGGCAAGUCUGGUGCCAGCAGCCGCGGUAAUUCCAGCUCCAAUAGCGUAUAUUAAAGUUGUUGCGGUUAAAAAGCUCGUAGUCGGACUUGUGCCCCGAUCUGCCGGUUCACAGCCCGUCUGUGUCUAACUGGCAUGCAUCCGUGGGCGUAUUGCCGGUGGCCCAAGUCGUUUCCCGGUGUCCUUUGAUGAGCGUGGGUCGCCACGACUUCACUUGCCCGGGAAUCACCGAGGCGGGCCUGUCCACCCCUUUGCGGUGCUCUUAACCGAGUGUCUCGAAGGGCCGGCACGUUUACUUUGAACAAAUUAGAGUGCUUCAAGCAGGCAACGACCGCCUGAAUACCAGUGCAUGGAAUAAUGGAAUAGGACCUCGGUUCUAUUUUGUUGGUUUUCGGAAUCCCCGAGGUAAUGAUCAAUAGGGACAGACGGGGGCAUUCGUAUUGCGACGUUAGAGGUGAAAUUCUUGGAUCGUCGCAAGACGGACCGAAGCGAAAGCAUUUGCCAAGCAUGCUUUCUUUGAUCAAGAACGAAAGUUAGAGGUUCGAAGGCGAUCAGAUACCGCCCUAGUUCUAACCAUAAACGAUGCCAGCCGGAAUUCCGCCGAAGUUCCUCCGAUGACUCGGCGGGUGUCCUACGGGAAACCAAAGCGAUCGGGUUCCGGGGGAAGUAUGGUUGCAAAGCUGAAACUUAAAGGAAUUGACGGAAGGGCACCACCAGAAAUGGAGCCUGCGGUUUAAUUUGACUCAACACGGGAAAACUUACCGGGCCCGGACUCUGGAAGGAUUGACAGAUUUAGAGCUCUUUCUUGAUUCAGAGGGUGGUGGUGCAUGGCCGUUCUUAGUUGGUGGACUGAUUUGUCAGGUUAAUUCCGAUAACGAACGAGAUUCUAGCCUACUAACUAGUCGUUCCCGGCUUCCUUUGUGCAGCUGGCGAGUAAUGAUCUUCUUAGAGGGACAGGCGGCGUCCAGCCGCAUGAGAUUGAGCAAUAACAGGUCUGUGAUGCCCUUAGAUGUUCCGGGCCGCACGCGCGCUACACUGAAGGAAUCAACACGUCCUCCCAGGCCGAGUGGUCCGGGUAACCUAUUGAACCUCCUUCGUGCUAGGGAUCGGGGAUUGCAAUUAUUCCCUGUGAACGAGGAACUCCCAGUAAGCGCGGGUCAUCAGCCCGCGUUGAUUACGUCCCUGCCCUUUGUCCACACCGCCCGUCGCUACUACCGAUUGAAUGAAUUAGUGAGGUCUUCGGACCGGCGGGUCUGGGCUCUGAGCUCACUUCUCGCAGGGAAGAUGAUCGAACUUGCUCAUUUAGAGGAAGUAAAAGUCGUAACAAGGUUGCCGUAGGUGAACCUGCGGCAGGACCAUUA
rnacentral:rRNA from 1 species